CAGCCAUUGACGCCAUGGUUGAAAAGGCCAAGUUGGACGUUGUGGACCUCCUGAAGAAUGGCAGGGCUUUUAGUUAUGCAGUCAUUACUCAAAUUAUGGCAGAUGCAAAUCCAAUCCAAAGGUUGAAAAUGUUGCUCGGUAUCUCUAUUAUGCUGACCCACAGGCACCAUCCCUGCAGUUUGUCAAUGACAGAGAGAAUAUCCGACAGUACCUCUGUGACCUCUCUGAGGCAAAAAUGAAAAAGACAACACAGAAGAAUUACCUCAAGAGCUUGAAAAGAUUCCUGGUUUUCCACACUCUCCAAACCGACCUGAGAAAUGAGGAUUUGCCACUCCAUAAAGUGUGCCAGCACUUCAUUGCCUUCAUUGGUUCUUUGCAGCACAUCCUUGCCAAGCACUCAAAGAAAGAGAUCACCCAAAAGAGGUUUGUACCCAUAUAAAUGGUCAAGAACUGGUAGUCCUCUCUCUGC